rnacentral:rRNA from 1 species
GAUGAACGCUGGCGGCGUGCCUAAUACAUGCAAGUCGAGCGAACGGACGAGAAGCUUGCUUCUCUGAUGUUAGCGGCGGACGGGUGAGUAACACGUGGAUAACCUACCUAUAAGACUGGGAUAACUUCGGGAAACCGUAGCUAAUACCGGAUAAUAUUUUGAACCGCAUGGUUCAAAAGUGAAAGACGGUCUUGCUGUCACUUAUAGGUGGAUCCGCGCUGCAUUAGCUAGUUGGUAAGGUAACGGCUUACCAAGGUAACGAUGCAUAGCCGACCUGAGAGGGUGAUCGGCCACACUGGAACUGAGACACGGUCCAGACUCCUACGGGAGGCAGCAGUAGGGAAUCUUCCGCAAUGGGCGAAAGCCUGACGGAGCAACGCCGCGUGAGUGAUGAAGGUCUUCGGAUCGUAAAACUCUGUUAUUAGGGAAGAACAUAUGUGUAAGUAACUGUGCACAUCUUGACGGUACCUAAUCAGAAAGCCACGGCUAACUACGUG